rnacentral:lncRNA from 1 species
GUCCUAUUUCAGUAGAACCUGGUGUCAGGUGUUAUCUGGUGGGAGGUUCACAUGACAUCUGCAGCGCUUUCUCUUUCUUUGAUGAAAACAACAUUGUGAUGUGUUCUGAUUUUAAUGUUUCACUGAUGUAUGAUUUUAUGGGUAUUUGGGAUUUUCUUUUUUUUGUGGUCAUUUUCUCAAACUCAAGGAUCUGUAUUUUUAAAAGAUGCUUGACAGCAGAAAACUCAGGCGGAAACCUUUACGGUUCCACUCAGCACAGUCUUGAAAUUAAAAUAAAACCAAUAAAGGAGACCUCCUGCACCAGAGAUGGGACUGUAGUGGUGUUGUUUUGAGUCCAUUCCAGCAGCAUCAAUUCCCCCUGGCAGCAUCUGAUGCCUAUUUCUCCACUUGUCUGCAGAGAAACCACUCCCACAGGGUCCCCCUGGCGGUGUUAUUGGAGUCCUCGGAGGUGUCGUUGCCAUCGGCCUCAUCGCCGGCGUGGCCGUCACCGUUUUCAUGGUCCAUCGGCGGCAGCAGAAGACACGCACUGAGACCGAUAAUGACCUGACCGACCUCCCACCUGCUCACAAGCCCGCCCCUCCCCCGCCCAAAAAGAAGAACAGCGACAUGAAGGGACACUUGACAUCCGACGACAUUCAGGACUCUGGAAGGCGUCCGGAGGAGCUGAAUCCGGCUGAAAUCAUGUGCUACCCACGCGUCUGUAACACGGAACCCUUCCCCGAGCCUCAGCCCGCUCCAGCCUACCCUCCCGUCACCUUCCUGCCUCAGAACCCCUAUCAGCAGCAUCCAACCAACGAGCCCACCUACUCCAACACAGGCUUCCCUGCCCCCGGCCCACGCGCACCAUUCUCGUUCCCCAAGGAGCAGUCGGUGUAAGACGCCCCUUAACUUUUAGCGAACGGCGCCAUGAUCGCUUCAUGGAAAACAAAAGCCCUGCUAAAGGAUUGCUGUUGAUUCUGUCUGUUUUUUAAGCUUCAAACAUCAUCUCAUGUGAACUUGCCCCCCCCCCCCCCCACCCUCUCCUCUCCCCAUGUAUUGUGGUCUGCUUGCUUCACUCUGUAGAUGCAUUUUCACCAAGCAGAGCAGUUCAGUCCAGUACGCAAUUCGUUUUUACGAGUCACAUGACAUCAAAGCAGUUACAUCAUCAAGUGCUGCUUAAUUGGGGAAAAAAGAGCCCAUCAGAAAUUGCGGGUCUCAUCAUGGUAGCUUUGACUUUAGACGGCAGAAAUGUAAAUAAUUGGGCAGCGUACAGAGCUGAACUGUGUGGAGAUGCAGUGUAUACGACCCAGCACAGUGUGUGAUGUUAGCGUACCCUCCUCCAACACACUUUCACCCCCUCACACACCCACUCCAUGUCUGAGUGCAUCCUCACCUUUAUAUUCUAUUUUUUAUUUGAAACCCUGUACAGAUUUGUCACUCAUGAGCUCGUUUCUUAUUUUUUUCCUUAUUUCACCCCACAGUGUUAGUGACCUUUUAAAGAAACGUGCUUCUUUUCAUUUGGUUUGUUUGUCUGUCAUUCUUAUGCUUGCCUCUUUGAAAUUAAUAUUCUAUACUGUAUGUGUGACUGGUGUGUAGUGGUGGGAAAAAAAGAGAAAACUUUUUGAUUUCUGAAACUAAUUAUAAUAAAAUAAUGACAUGGACCACCCCUUUAAUGACAGUUAAUGACAGGGUUGUUAUGUGCAGAUUUGAAUUGGCAGUCUCUCAUCUGAAUCCUUCAUUAAUUUUUCAUUAUGGCUUUGCUAUUAUGGCGAUUGACUGGAUAUUUCAGACUAUUUAAAAGCGAAUGUUCCUCAUUAGCUACAACAAAAAACAAAGGGCUUGAAAUUUGACAGUAACUAUUUCUUCUGUGUCUCCAAUUAUUAUUAUUAUUAUUAUUAUUAUUAUUAUUAUUAUUGGUCCAUAUACUCUCAUGCUGGUAUUUGUUUAAUCUACCUUGUCUGUUGGGAAUUAGAAGCGUAGUUUGGGGAUGUGCUAAUUAUUCCCAGUUUACAUUAUCAUUUCCCAUAUGCUGUAUUUUCCAUAUCCGUAUGCAAACACUGGGGUUCGUUUAGGCUAACUGUUGCAGAGUUAGGAAGCAGCAGGAGCUGCUGUUUAUGCAGAUGCACCAGGUGAAGACAAUCAUGCAUUGGGUUGUCCUAGAAAAAGAUUGGGAACAAAUAUUGUUUCUUGUUUUUUGGGUUGCCCAAUCAGAAAGGGAACUACUUGUUCAAGGGAAGUUCACAUAUUUAACAUAUUUAAAGAGUUUGGUUCAUCAUGACUGGUAGUAAUAUAUUGUCGGAUACACUGAGGAGAAAUGCCUGCUGCUGUAUUUUUUUAGGAAAUGCUCAGUUAUAUUUGAUAGCACUUGAUUUAUGUGCAGACUACAGUUUACACUCCGUCCUUUUCAGACCAUACAUAAGCUAACGUGCUUUACGAGCCAAUCUGAGCGUUCUGCCUCUGACACGCCAGCCCUGUCGAGACAGAACAGUCCAUUCAGCUAUGCUAAAGUUCACUCUUUUUUUUGCCAUGUCAGAUGUUGUUUUGUUUUUUUUUAAAAAGAGAGAUGAAGCAAAUUUUUGUGUUUGUGCUAAAUGUUAAAAUAAGAUGUUGAAGGUAAUUUAGUGUUUAAAUCUUAAUGGUGGUUAAUGGAAUCGAGUAAAACUUGUGAGACUUUCUCCCGUGCUCACCUUGUUGUCUUGCGAUGGCUAUAUGCGAUAUGUGUGCUAGCAUUUAGUUUAAGCAGUGAUGUCUGGUCACUGAAGGAGUUUGAGCCUUUUACUGUACCUGCUGUGUGGAAAAAACACUUAAAACACCGAGUCUACAUGUGACACUUUGACUAUUCAGAAAAACCCUCCAGUUAAUAUUAUUAUUAUUAUCAUCAUUAUUAUUUUUUAAUAUUAUUAAUAUUGGUUUCAAUGUAUGCUUAACUGCAUUGCAUGUAUGUUUUACAUAGUUUUUCAGUCACAUUUAAUUAUUUCAAAUGUCCUGAAGAUAACUGCCAUGUCUGUUUUCACCCAUGACCUUGUUUUAUUUUGUGUUUUGUACAUUAUAGGUUAUUAACAUUAGAGUUUUUGUUUUUUGUUUUUUUGGGGUUUUUUGGGUAAUAUGCUGUGAACGUUUAGGCCUGAAGCAUAUUUGGUCUGACACUACUUGUACAACUGUUAAAGGGUAAUAUCUGAUUAAAUCUUACAGAUUUCAGCUCUUUUUUUAAAAUAAUGGCAUGAUGUGAAAUGAUUCAUCCUGUUUUGUUUUAUUCCGUGUAAAUAUUAACAGUGUAUCUGAUGUGUGAAAAAAGGAAAUGCAGUCUAACAUUAAACAUUCACACACUACCCUGAAC